rnacentral:rRNA from 1 species
GAUGAACGCUGGCGGCGUGCUUAACACAUGCAAGUCGAACGAUGAAGCCCAGCUUGCUGGGUGGAUUAGUGGCGAACGGGUGAGUAACACGUGAGUAACCUGCCCUUAACUCUGGGAUAAGCCUGGGAAACUGGGUCUAAUACCGGAUAGGAGCGUCCACCGCAUGGUGGGUGUUGGAAAGAUUUAUCGGUUUUGGAUGGACUCGCGGCCUAUCAGCUUGUUGGUGAGGUAAUGGCUCACCAAGGCGACGACGGGUAGCCGGCCUGAGAGGGUGACCGGCCACACUGGGACUGAGACACGGACCAGACUCCUACGGGAGGCAGCAGUGGGGAGUAUUGCACAGUGGGCGCAAGCCUGAUGCAGCGACGCCGCGUGAGGGAUGACGGCCUUCGGGUUGUAAACCUCUUUCAGUAGGGAAGAAGCGAAAGUGACGGUACCUGCAGAAGAAGCACCGGCUAACUACGUG